rnacentral:rRNA from 1 species
GCGUGAGGAACCUGCCUCAAAGAGGGGGACAACAGUUGGAAACGACUGCUAAUACCGCAUAAGCCCACGGCUCGGCAUCGAGCAGAGGGAAAAGGAGCAAUCCGCUUUGAGAUGGCCUCGCGUCCGAUUAGCUAGUUGGUGAGGUAACGGCCCACCAAGGCGACGAUCGGUAGCCGGACUGAGAGGUUGAACGGCCACAUUGGGACUGAGACACGGCCCAGACUCCUACGGGAGGCAGCAGUGGGGAAUAUUGCACAAUGGGGGAAACCCUGAUGCAGCGACGCCGCGUGGAGGAAGAAGGUCUUCGGAUUGUAAACUCCUGUUGUUGAGGAAGAUAAUGACGGUACUCAAC